AUUGAACGCUGGCGGCAGGCUUAACACAUGCAAGUCGGGCGGGGGAAGGUAGCUUGCUACUGGACCUAGCGGCGGACGGGUGAGUAAUGCUUAGGAAUCUGCCUAUUAGUGGGGGACAACAUCUCGAAAGGGAUGCUAAUACCGCAUACGUCCUACGGGAGAAAGCAGGGGAUCUUCGGACCUUGCGCUAAUAGAUGAGCCUAAGUCGGAUUAGCUAGUUGGUGGGGUAAAGGCCUACCAAGGCGACGAUCUGUAGCGGGUCUGAGAGGAUGAUCCGACACACUGGGACUGAGACACGGCCCAGACUCCUACGGGAGGCAGCAGUGGGGAAUAUUGGACAAUGGGGGGAACCCUGAUCCAGCCAUGCCGCGUGUGUGAAGAAGGCCUUAUGGUUGUAAAGCACUUUAAGCGAGGAGGAGGCUACUCUAGUUAAUACCUAGGGAUAGUGGACGUUACUCGCAGAAUAAGCACCGGCUAACUCUGUGCCAGCCGCCGCAGUAA
rnacentral:rRNA from 1 species